AUUUCUUACAAAUCAAUUAAUUAUAUUUACCAAUAAUAAUAAACCAAAUAAUUUCCCCCAUAUAUUCCUCCAAACCACAAGUUAACCAUUUCUGCUUUCAACACAAUAUACAAUUAAUACUAUCUCAAUUAUUACAAUUCCCUAGUUAAAUAGAGCUUUUUUUCUUUUGUGUUUUAAAAUCUUGAACCUCCCCUUUUGCCCUAAAUUUCCCAUUGUUUGCAGUUUUGCACUUACCUUUUUUGGUGAGGAAAAAGAAAAAGAAAUCUCUCUCUGCCUCAUUUUGUCAUGUUGCAGCAAAGACCCUGCUUUACUUUCAGUUUCGUUUUUUCAGCAUAGCUAGGGGGAAAAAAAUCUGCUCCUCUCUUUGCAGCUAGUAACAGAGCCCUCCGCAAAACAGCUGAAAGCAAAUCAGCUGAGAGUCCGGAGGCUGAUCAAAUCAACUUAUGGUAAUUAACCUAUGCUGAAGCUGAAAGGGGCUGUUUUUUUCUAUUUUUGCAGGCACCGAUCUUCUCAUUUGUUUUCUUUUAACACUGAUCAGCUGUAGGGCGGCCCUUUUAAGCCCCGCGGCAAGAUUUUAAAUGGUUUGUUUCCCUCUAGCCAUCAGCUGGGACUCAGGAGGCAGCAAUAGAUUGGGAGUGGGCGGGGCGAACGGCGAACGGCGAUCCAACAGAGGCAGAGGGUGAGGGUGAGUGAAGGCAUGGGGGAGGGCGAGAGAGGGCUUUGGCGACCCCUGUGAAAUGGCUGUUCGACCCCCAAAGGGGUCGCAAUCCCCAGGUUGAGAACCGCUGCUCUAGGGGGUCUAUAUAUAUCUUGAUUUUAAUUGUAGAUAAGGCCACCAAUCUAUAUUUAUUCCCUGUUCUUCCAAUUUUUGCCUACUUUUUGGAUUCCCCUAGUUGUCUAAAAUUUCACUGUACUUUACCAUUUUACUUAAAUUCAAUGUAUUAGGAUGGAUCAUUGCUUCCAUAGUUGAAACCCAAUUUGGAUUUUCAUGUAAUGUUUUUUUCUUAAUUUCAUGCCAUGUUUGCAUUAGAGCUUCUUGUAUUUUAUGUUGAAAAAAGUUGGAAUGAGAUUUGUUCUCUCUGUCCCAUAGGAAGGCAUGCCAUCCUUUUUUUAAGUCAUGUCCUUCCAGUGAGAGUAAUCUUUUAUUUCUCAGGUUAAUCCAUUCUUUAAUCCAAACUAGAGUUGCUGCCUGAUAAUAAAGUCACCAGUCUGGGAGCCCUAAGCCACCUCUGCUUCUACUUUCCUGAAGAUCAGAUAAUCAGGAGUGUCAAAAUGGUGUCCUGCAGGCCGGAUACGUCAUGUGAAGCCAUACCAACCCCAGCUCCGCGAAGCGGGAAAAUUUCAUGAUACAUCAUAUGAUGGCAAUGUGAUGCUGCAAGUUUGACACCCGUGAGAUAUGUAGUCCCAGGUUUUCUGGAACCAUAACUUUCACUGGAAGGACAAUGGAAUCAGUAGCUACAAUAACUUCCCAUUUUAUCGGAAGAAGAAGGUUCUGAACAUGAAGGAGAGGAGCCGGCCAGGCCUCCCUCUCCAGGCCCCUCCUCUCUGGCAAUGCCUCAGGUGUCUGCUGAGGGAGAGGAGAUUGGCCAGGAGCCAGGUGUCUCCGAUGACAGCGAUGACGGUGAUAAGUCGUUCCUGGAUCCACGCCAACGAAGGCGAGAUAAAUGUUUGCAGCAGAUGAGGAGGCGUGCCAGGGAUUAAGCUGAGUCACUGGACCACAACCCACAGGCUAUAUAAGAGAGUGUGGUGGCCAUUUAGACUCUGUGACGGACAAAGCUAACUUCUGGCUAGUCACUUUGUACAACGCCUAAUCUGCUGAAGGUUUCUGUUUGAGCUGGACUGUUUUUGCAAACUGUAUUUGUUAGUGAUUAUCUGGUGGAGGAACACUCCCUCUUCUUGAAAUAAAGCACUUGGCAAACGGUUAUCGUAUUGCUGCCAAGUUCCUGAUAACGAACCUUGUGUGUGCCAAGUAAUUCUUUAACCCCCGGCUGGCUGUUUGUGUGUGUGUGGGGACGGGGACAGAACA